rnacentral:ncRNA from 1 species
CUUUAUACAAAGACAUGGUAAGUAAAAAAGCAGAUACUUUAUCAGAGAGCUUCGGUAGCUGAGAAGAAGCAAGUAAACACUUUUUGAAAAUGGCCAUCGAGUAUUCAAUGUCGAGCAAAUAAAACGUUGUAAGGAAUUGACGGGAGCAACCGUUAUAUUGCGCAAGUAUAGUAUAUGCUAUACUGACAGAGGAGCUGAUUUUUCAGCUUAAACUGAGGUGGUACCACGCAAAAAAGCGUCCUCAAG